UACGUAGGGUGCAAGCGUUGUCCGGAAUUAUUGGGCGUAAAGAGCUCGUAGGCGGUCUGUCACGUCGGCUGUGAAAACCCGGGGCUCAACCCCGGGCCUGCAGUCGAUACGGGCAGACUAGAGUGCGGUAGGGGAGACUGGAAUUCCUGGUGUAGCGGUGAAAUGCGCAGAUAUCAGAGGAACACCGGUGGCGAAGGCGGGAUCUCUGGGCCAUUUACUGACGCUGAGGAGCGAAAGCGUGGGAGCGAACAGG
rnacentral:rRNA from 1 species